rnacentral:misc_RNA from 1 species
AAGUCGUAACAAGGUUUCCGUAGGUGAACCUGCGGAAGGAUCAUUAUUGAAUAAACUUGAUCAGGUUGUUGCUGGCUCCCCUGAGCAUGUGCACACUUGUCAUCUUUACUUCUCCCCACUGUGCACAUAUUGUAGGCCUGGAAUUCUUAUGAUUAUUUUGUAUAGAUUGAGGACUGCUGUGCUUUAGCCAGCUUUUCCUUGCAUUUCCAGGUCUAUGUUUACCUUCACAACCUCUGAAUAUGUUUAGAAUGUUGGAAUAUAAUAUAUAUAUAUACAACUUUCAGCAACGGAUCUCUUGGCUCUC